GCAAGUCGAACGGCAGCGCGGGGAGCUUGCUAUCUUGCUGACGAGUGGCGGACGGGUGAGUAACGCGUAGGGAUCUACCCAGCUGCGGGGGAUAGCCCGGUGAAAACCGGAUUAAUACCGCAUACGACCUUCGGGUGAAAGGGUGCCUCUCCUUGGAAGCAUUCACAGUUGGAUGAACCUGCGUCAGAUUAGCUAGUUGGUAGGGUAAAGGCCUACCAAGGCGACGAUCUGUAGCUGGUCUGAGAGGAUGAUC
rnacentral:rRNA from 1 species